rnacentral:rRNA from 1 species
GAUGAACGCUGGCGGCGUGCUUAACACAUGCAAGUCGAACGGAAAGGCCCAAGCUUGCUUGGGUGCUCGAGUGGCGAACGGGUGAGUAACACGUGGGUGAUCUGCCCUGCACUUUGGGAUAAGCCUGGGAAACUGGGUCUAAUACCGGAUAGGACCAUCGUUUAGUGUCGGUGGUGGAAAGUUUUUCGGCGUGGGAUGAGCUCGCGGCCUAUCAGCUUGUUGGUGGGGUAAUGGCCUACCAAGGCGUCGACGGGUAGCCGGCCUGAGAGGGUGUACGGCCACAUUGGGACUGAGAUACGGCCCAGACUCCUACGGGAGGCAGCAGUGGGGAAUAUUGCACAAUGGGCGCAAGCCUGAUGCAGCGACGCCGCGUGGGGGAUGACGGCCUUCGGGUUGUAAACGCCUUUCGCCAAGGACGAAGCGUUUUGUGACGGUACUUGGAGAAUAAGCACCGGCUAACUACGUG